rnacentral:rRNA from 1 species
UACGUAGGUGGCAAGCGUCGUCCGGAUUUACUGGGCGUAAAGAGCGCGCAGGCGGUCGAUCAAGUCGCGUGUGAAAGCCCCCGGCUCAACUGGGGAGGGUCACGCGAUACUGAUCGACUCGAAGGCAGGAGAGGGUAGUGGAAUUCCCGGUGUAGUGGUGAAAUGCGUAGAUAUCGGGAGGAACACCAGUGGCGAAGGCGACUACCUGGCCUGUUCUUGACGCUGAGGCGCGAAAGCUAGGGGAGCAAACGGG